UUUCAUGUAAAUGAAAUUUUCAAAAUAUUAUAUGACAGUCAUGUAAUACAUACCGGAAAAACUUCCUAUUUUACUUAGCAAUGAUGAUCUGUGAUCUGGAGAAGGGUUGAGGGAACUUUUUGUACCUGUUCAUGAAGCUUUUCACUGCGUUUUGGAUACUGAGUUAUUUUUUAUUUCAUGAUGCUCGAACGCUUGAAUUUUCGAAUAGAAAUAAUAAAUAAUCUUAAUACUCUUGCAAGCCGGUUAUUGUACGGAUAUGAAUCUAACCUUGUCCAAGACCAAGAUCGCUCAUCAACAGCUUCAAGAUUUUCAAAGCUUCAUACGUAUAUCAAACGGAAAUGGAAUCUGUGUCGGGGACGUUGGAUGGAGUUAAAGCCAAGAAAAUGAGGGCACUCAUGAUUAAGACUGGAAGGAAGAGAAGGAAAAGUGGCGGCGGUGGCAAUGGAGGCAGAACAAGCGGCAGCACCAGAAGGAAGAAAGUAAAAACAACCAUCACCGUGAGUGAUCUUAGACUGAAAUGGUUUAACGCCACAUUCAUCGCCGGGUAGCUGGCUGCAGUUUGAGAAAGAAAAUAGAGAAGUGAUCAUAUUUGCUACGCGGAUCACAGCUGUUAGAUUCAUAGCCCCAUGGAAUUUUAAGUACCAUUGAUGAGUCAAAACUCAUUGCUAG
rnacentral:lncRNA from 1 species